UACGAAGGGGGCUAGCGUUGCUCGGAAUCACUGGGCGUAAAGCGCACGUAGGCGGAUUGUUAAGUCAGGGGUGAAAUCCUGGAGCUCAACUCCAGAACUGCCUUUGAUACUGGCGAUCUUGAGUCCGGGAGAGGUGAGUGGAACUGCGAGUGUAGAGGUGAAAUUCGUAGAUAUUCGCAAGAACACCAGUGGCGAAGGCGACUCACUGGCCCGGACUGAC
rnacentral:rRNA from 1 species